AAACUUUAGGGAAGCUUUGAAGUACAUGCUAUAUCUGGGCAUCUAGGCGUGUAUGGAGUUAAUGAUGCAACAGACCCUAUACUUA
rnacentral:ncRNA from 2 species